AACGGAGGGUGCAAGCGUUGUUCGGAAUUACUGGGCGUAAAGCGCGUGCAGGUGGUCUUUUAAGUUUCAUGUGAAAUCCCACGGCUUAACUGUGGAACGGCAUGGAAUACUGGAAGGCUUGAAUACGGGAGAAGAGGGCGGAAUUCCCAGUGUAGAGGUGAAAUUCGUAGAUAUUGGGAGGAACACCGGUGGCGAAAGCGGCUCUCUAGACCGAUAUUGACGCUCAUACGCGAGAGCGUGGGUAGCAAAC
rnacentral:rRNA from 1 species